UGCUCACCUGGAUUACACUGGAACACCCAUAAGAGGUUGGAAGCCCAUUCAAAACCCUGCAGUCACCCCAGGCUGCUUCUGCAAAGCCAAAGCCCGGUCGCGCCAUUCAAAAGGCCUGCCGGCCUGCCAGCCCAAAAGAGAGUUGGGUCCUGGGGGACGGGGCGGAUCGGCUUACCCUCCCCGAAAACGGGAGAGGAGCACACAAAAGGGCCCGGGCCCCGCCAGGCAGAAACUCACGCUAACCGUAGGUGGCUUCUGCACGUUCCUCGGCAAAGACGAAAACCGGUUAUUUGCC